rnacentral:rRNA from 1 species
UACGAAGGGGCUAGCGUUGUUCGGAAUUACUGGGCGUAAAGCGCACGUAGGCGGAUUGUUAAGUGAGGGGUGAAAUCCCAGGGCUCAACCCUGGAACUGCCUUUCAUACUGGCAAUCUAGAGUCCAGAAGAGGUGAGUGGAAUUCCGAAGUGUAGAGGUGAAAUUCGUAGAUAUUCGGAGGAAGCACCAGUGGCGAAGGACGGC